rnacentral:rRNA from 1 species
UGGCGGGACGGGGUGGAGUAAUGUCUGGGAAACGUGCCUGAUGGAGGGGGAUAACUACUGGAAACGGUAGCUAAUACCGCAUAACGUCGCAAGACCAAAGAGGGGGACCGUUAGGGCCUCUUGCCAUCGGAUGUGCCCAGAUGGGAUUAGCUAGUAGGUGGGGUAACGGCUCACCUAGGCGACGAUCCCUAGCUGGUCCGAGAGGAUGACCAGCCACACUGGAACUGAGACACGGUCCAG